UACAGAGGGUGCUAGCGUUGUUCGGAAUCAUUGGGCGUAAAGGGUGCGUAGGCGGCGCGGUAAGUCGGGUGUGAAAUCUCGGAGCUUAACUCCGAAACUGCAUUCGAUACUGCCGUGCUUGAGGACUGGAGAGGAGACUGGAAUUUACGGUGUAGCGGUGAAAUGCGUAGAUAUCGUAAGGAAGACCAGUGGCGAAGGCGGGUCUCUGGACAGUUCCUGACGCUGAGGCACGAAGGCCAGGGGAGCAAACGGG
rnacentral:rRNA from 1 species